ensembl:lncRNA
GGAAAUUCUUUACCCAGAGGGCGGUGAGGCACUGGCAUAGCUGCAGUGUGGUGCCACAUCCCUGGAGACACUCAAGGCCAGGUUGGAUGGGGCCCUGGGCAGCCUUAGCUGGUGGGGGGCAGCCCUGCCCAUGGGAGGGGUUGGGGGUGGGUGGGCUUUGAGGUACCCCCCCAACCCAAGACAUUCUAUGAAUAUAUCUAUGAUCAAGGCAGCAGAAGCAGGUGGAAAUGUGGAGAGGAUAAAAAGGACCUCCGUGAGGGAAGAUUAAUAGUCAACUAAGCUAUUUAAUUGUGUGUGAGGAGGUAAAUUAGCUUCAUUCUGAUUUAGAGCUUCAAAAGCAAGAAAAAAAAAUCCAUAACAAAUAGCCCAAGGUUUAUGUUUUAUCAUGAUGAAAACUGAUGACAAUACUUCUUCAGGGGCAUAGUCACCUGCACAGUGGCAUAUGGCUAAUCAGGUCUGAUGUCCACAAGGUGCAAAUUUGCUUCAGCUUUCACCUAGAUAUCUACAGGAUUUGGAUCCUGGUUCAGAUUUAUGAAAGAAUAAUUUCCAUUAUCUUCUUGUGCUUGGACCUCUAGUUAACACUGUAAGAACAUGUGCUGCAUACUGUUCAUGUGCAGUCAGAGCUGACCAGCAUCAGUGGUACACUUUCUCAAGCUCAGAGUCAUAGCUUUUAUGUUCAGAUCUAUGGCUGCUGGCUUAUAGGGUUCGAUGUAUUUGUUUUGCUGUCUGGCUACACUGCUGUUCUUAAGGCUUUUUGUCCUGUUGUUGUUAACUUAAAUUGUGAAAGAUGUGCAGUGAUUAUUCCUGCCCUUGCUUGCCUUUCCACAUAACAUCGAGAUUUUUUAGAAUUUAUUAAAAAUCUUCUGUGUAGAGAUUACUAGUUCCAAACCUGAGAAAAAGAGCCAAAAAUGCUUAUAUUUUUCCAGUAGCUAUAUGAAACUUUUUCACUGUCACACAUGGACUGGAACAGUAGAAUGAUGUAUUUAUUGAAUGACCUGUCUGGCACUGAAAUCUGUUGGUGUGGUGCAUACCUCUA